UUAUUAUUUCUGCAAAUUUUCAUUUUCCUACAGUUCACUUCUAUAUCUGCACAAAAUACAAUUUUUAAUAAUUUUAAACUCUCACAAUUCAUUUUACUCUCAAAUUCUAAAAUCCCCAACAUCUUCAAUUCAAAAGCAAACAGAAGAUUCAAAAGCCUUUCCGUAAAAUUUGAUUUCCACAGCAGCAAAUUUUGAAGCAGCAAACUUUGAUUGAUCUCUUUCACACGUUUAUGUUCAAACAAGUAAUUCAAUCUAUUUAAACCUCAUUGUAUCAUUCUCAUUCCAUCAGUUUCAAAUCAUAAACCAUCAACAGAUUUCUCCAUUUGCUCUUUUCACAAAAUAAUUCAAUCUGCCAUUUCUCACUGCACAUCAUCAAUCGGUAAUUCUCAUAAACUUGUAUAGUUUUAUUUUCAUAUGCAAAGAUCUCUGCUUUCUUUCAAUUUACAGAAAACAACCAAACUCCCACAAAAUUCUUAUUUUUAUAAAUCCAAACAUGCAUACACACAUCAUUAGAUCUAGUGUUUGUAAUUCAUAAGAAAUCGAAAAGGAAUACAUAUUCAUUGAUUUUACAGAAAACAAAUUUAGAUUUAGAAACCUAUAUUGAUAAAGGGAGUUGGGAUGAAGUGGGAUGAGGAGCUACCCGCCGGAGCAGGGGGCGGCGUCAGAUGGUUGUCUGGCCGGAUCUGGAAAGGGAGAGAGGGCGGCGGCGGCAGUACAAGAAGGGAGGCGGCUGGACGCGCCUCCGUCGACACAGGGACGGCGGUGGUGGCGUUGCGGUCGGCCAAUUGGGAGGAAGAAGAGGAGUCGUCGGCCUCCGGCGACGGUGUGCCGGUGGCGGAGGCAGGGGGAGGCCGAGGGAGAGAGGGAGAAGGGGGAAAGGGAGCCUGCGUGAAUGGUGAAGUGGGGUGAGCUGCGUAUUUUGUAAUUGUGUGGUGAAAGUGAGAGUUAAAUUAGGGAUUUAAGAGAGAGAAUGAAUUUGGGCUUAAGGGUGGGCUAAAGCUUUAAUUGGGGCUUAAUUUAUUAAAUGGUUGGGCAUUAAUUUUACUAAAUAAGUUGGGCUUAAUUCUACUUUUAAUAUGGCUGCAUUUGCAUAUAUUUUUACAAAUGAUAUUAUUAAAUUUUAUAUUUCGAUUUACAUUAUUAAUUUGAACUUAGUUUUAAUUAAAUAUUGAGCCCAAAUAUUUUUAUAAGAAAAGCUCUUUUAUAAUCUAUUAGACCAAUGAUUUUUAAAUGGUUAUAUGAUAAUAAAUUCUUAAGAUUUAAAUUACUAUUACUAUUAUUAUUUUUAUAGAUUCAAAUAGGCCCUUAUAUUUUGAAUUUAUCUGACUAGGUGCGGCGCGACUAGGACGUGAACUUUAAAUUCUUGCAGUUAAUUUUCAAAACUCAAAAGUUCAAGUUUCAGGUGUGGGAUUUAUUUCAGUACAUGCACGUGGUUAAUAUUUGUCCAUUUUAAUAUUAUGUGUUUACCGUAUGUGUUGUAAAAAUAUUUAUCGCUAGGGGCCAGUAUAAUUAGUCCAGGACUUCACCGUCCUUGGUAUGCCACAAAGCGAUUUCAUGUUACAGGGUUGCAACCAUUAUAUUGUCGCCAGGGGCCCACAUAUAGGGUCCGGGACAUUAAAGUCCUUGGAGUUGCCACAGUUUUAAAGGCCGGAAGCGCGUGGAAGGUCGAAUGGCGAGUAAAAUGUUUUGAAUUUAGUUAUACUUAAAAAUGUUAUGUUUAGUAAAGUAUUUUAACAUAAGAUAUUUAUUUCCCUAUUUUCACAUUAAAUAUUUAUUUAUAGUCAUUAUUUUCCACGUGCGUUUUCAUUUAAAAUUAAAAUGAAUUUGGGUGUCACAAGUCGAAUGGGCGCGUCGAAUCUAUUUAAAGAUAAAUGUUUCCUAAAACAUAUUAUGUUAUUUCAUGUGAUAUCUCUUGAUUAUGUAAACUCUGAAAUUCUAUACUAUUUGAGAUUUGUGUGUGAUUUGUUUAAAUAAAUGUUAUUAUAUUAUUUUAAUGUCA